ACAGCGGAGAGUUUGAUCCUGGCUCAGGAUGAACGCUAGCGACAGGCUUAACACAUGCAAGUCGAGGGGCAGCGGGGGCGUGGCUUGCCACGCCCGCCGGCGACCGGCGCACGGGUGAGUAACACGUAUGCAACCCACCCCCCUCAGGGGGAUAACCCCGGGAAACCGGGCCUAAUACCGCGUACACCGCCUUGGGGGCAUCCCUGAGGCGGGAAAGCUACGGCGGAGGGGGACGGGCAUGCGCCGCAUUAGGUAGUUGGCGGGGCAACGGCCCACCAAGCCGACGAUGCGUAGGGGUUCUGAGAGGAAGGCCCCCCACACUGGUACUGAGACACGGCCCAGACUCCUACGGGAGGCAGCAGUGAG
rnacentral:rRNA from 1 species